rnacentral:rRNA from 1 species
UUUAUGGAGAGUUUGAUCCUGGCUCAGGAUGAACGCUGGCGGCGUGCCUAAUACAUGCAAGUCGAGCGAACGGAUGAGAAGCUUGCUUCUCUGAUGUUAGCGGCGGACGGGUGAGUAACACGUGGAUAACCUACCUAUAAGACUGGGAUAACUUCGGGAAACCGGAGCUAAUACCGGAUAAUAUUUUGAGCCGCAUGGUUCAAAAGUGAAAGACGGUCUUGCUGUCACUUAUAGAUGGAUCCGCGCUGCAUUAGCUAGUUGGUAAGGUAACGGCUUACCAAGGCAACGAUGCAUAGCCGA